CUACCAAAGCAAAUGCAGGUUGCAGAUGGUGAAAACUGAGUUGGGAAAACUGCACAGAUAUUUUCCCAAAACGUUCUCAACAAUGCUGCAAAUGCCAUUCUGGGUAGCUGAGAGGGAAAGACAGCAAGCGUCAUCUUGCCAGGGGCAGAACCUAUUCUCAAGCCACUUUGAGAGCAGGAGCUGAACAAAUACGAUUUAGACGUUUCCCCCGCCCUGGAAACGUGGUCAUGGGUUAACCGGUCCUUGGACAAAUUUAAGAACAGUGUCUCCUACCAGGGAAAUUAUCUCAUGCAAGAAAAAAAGUUCCCUUAAGCAUCAAAUUAUUUUUCCUUAACUUUUUUUAGAAAGUUUCCUUUUCAAAGUUUAGGAGGUUACACAGCAUGUGAAACUCUUGACGAGAUCUAAGGCAGAGGAGCGAGGAGGUUCGCUGCUGCCAGCCUUCCAAGAGAACCCAGUCAUUAAGGAGCCCCAACUGUCACCAAUCAUACGGAUCCCCACGUGGGACACACUUUAGCAUGAACACAACCUUGCCUCGGAAAGCAUACCCAGGAAAAUAUGCCGGGGGGUAGCUCCCUAAUUCUCCUGCCCAAAGAUGUUUGCCAUAGACUACGCUGACUCGCCCAUUCAGGAGCCCCUCGGGUUCCCGCUGGACCUACCCUUCUGAUUUGAGAUCAUCCACGUGUGUUUUCCCACCUCUGGAGGCUUUUAUUUUCUGCUCCCUCCCUUCUUAGUACAGUGCCAAUCACUGCUCUCCCCCGCCGCCCCCCUCCCCAAAGGCUCUCUGAGGCUGCUCCCUUUGUGAUUGGCAUCUCAUUAAUGAAGAAGGGCUGGUGUCUCUCAUUACAGUUAGAGUGAGUGAGAGGACCUCAGAACUAAUUUACUUGCUCUCACUAGGGAAGACACUUGCCUCCAUCAAGAACUUCACUUUCCUGCUGCCUGUGGCAAUAAAAGAACCCGUUUUGUUUUAACAUUAAUAAGGAAAUUCCACUCAUUGAUAAAGCUCGGCUUCGACACCCCUGCUCACAGUGAAAUACCUUCCUUGCCAACCACAUUGCUUUAUGAUCGUGCCCCUUUACCACAUUGUACUUGAAAUGCCUUGUCAUUUAAGAAACCAUAAAAAGGACGUCUUAAAAAACGGGUUCAUCAUUUAGCUGGAGAUGGCUUCUGCGCCUGGAACCAGAAGCCUGUCCUCUCGGUGGCUAUUUUUGAACGAGAAGGACUUUGGCCCACAUCAACAGUUUGGUUUCUUACUGUUUGCAUCUAUGAGUCAAAGUAGCUUGCUCCCAGGAUCCCCCACCAAACCGAAUGAAAAUAAAUUCAAUGUGUGCCCACUGAGCCUGGCCUGGGAGUUCUUGAGAUCAACUCAGAAUCAUGGUCUUUCUGUCACUCCCAAAACAAUCCUACCUAAUUCUACCUGUUCCUAAGUAUUGCCUUAGGAUACUGACAGUCUUUUCUCUUACUUACAGCUUUUGAAUGAAAUUAAAGCUAAUCCUCUCUGGCUUGGUUGGGUCUUGUGUAAGAUUCCCACACCCCACAAUCAAGGCCUUGCAAUGUAGUGUUAGAAGAGAUAGCCAAGUUACCACACCUGCAUCACGAUUCGGAUGAGGAUAGUAUUUUUUGCCUUCCAUGAGACAGCUUUGAAAACCUGA